rfam:Photobacterium sp. 13-12 C1791, whole genome shotgun sequence.
UUGAGCCGUAUGCAGUGAAAGUUGCACGUACGGUUCUUAGAGGGGCGGCACUUGGUAACAAGUGUCGUCUACUCGAC